rnacentral:rRNA from 1 species
UACGUAGGGUGCAAGCGUUAAUCGGAAUUACUGGGCGUAAAGCGUGCGCAGGCGGCUAUGCAAGACAGAUGUGAAAUCCCCGGGCUCAACCUGGGAACUGCAUUUGUGACUGCAUGGCUAGAGUACGGUAGAGGGGGAUGGAAUUCCGCGUGUAGCAGUGAAAUGCGUAGAUAUGCGGAGGAACACCGAUGGCGAAGGCAAUCCCCUGGACCUGUACUGACGCUCAUGCACGAAAGCGUGGGAGC